rnacentral:rRNA from 1 species
GAUGAACGCUGGCGGCGUGCCUAAUACAUGCAAGUCGAGCGAACAGACGAGGAGCUUGCUCCUCUGACGUUAUCGGCGGACGGGUGAGUAACACGUGGAUAACCUACCUAUAAGACUGGGAUAACUUCGGGAAACCGGAGCUAAUACCGGAUAAUAUAUUGAACCGCAUGGUUCAAUAGUUAAAGACGGUUUUGCUGUCACUUAUAGAUGGAUCCGCGCCGCAUUCGCUAGUUGGUAAGGUAACGGGUUACCAAGGCAACGAGGCGUAGCCGACCUGAGAGGGUGGAUGGCCACAUGGGAACAGAGACAGGGCCCAGACUCCUACAGUAGGAAGCAGUAGGGAAUCUUCCGCAAUGGACGAAAGCCUGACGGAGCAACGCCGCGUGAGUGAUGAUGGUCUUCGGAUCGUAAAACUAUGUUAUUAGGGAAGAACAAAUGUGUAAGUAACUAUGCACGUAUUGACGGUACCUAAUCAGAAAGCCACGGCUAACUACGUG